GCAGUGGUGGUUCAGUGAUAGAAUUCUCACCUUCCAUGUGGGAGCCCUGGGUUCCAUUCCCCGCCAAUGUA
rnacentral:tRNA from 1 species